GGGAAAACUUGGAAUCCGCCAGAAACGUGCUGAGGUCCUAUCGCAUGCACGCACUAGCCCCCGAAAGAAACAGCUGUGCUCGCGCCCCACAAUUCCCUAGUCGGCCAUUAAGGAAAGGCCAAGAGACAUUUACUUCCCACUUGCUUCCUGAAAGGGAUGAUUGGAUUUGUCAACGCUCUGGGACACCGCGGGGUUCGCGGCCUGAGGGUCACCCAAUGCGGCCUGCUGGCGAUAUCGGAGACAGGCAACAGAGACUGGGAUCACCGAGGUGGCCUUGGGGCCCCGGGUAGGCUCCAGGGGAGCACCGGCUGGGCACCAGGACGCGCGGCGCCGAACAAAGCUGGCCAGGCGACGGCUCCCAGGGCCCGCGUCUAGCGGAAUAAUUUUAAGCGGGCAAUGAUGAUAUGGUUGUGUUAUAAAGGAGACAUUUUCAACUGAGAUUGCUCUGAGAAGAUGCGGUGGGUUAUAGGAACACUUGUGACAUGCACCUGCCAUGUAUGCUCACAACUGUCAAGAUUUGUUCUCUACUGGAAUGACGGUGGGAGUGGCAAGGCAUUUCUUCUCCCUCUGCUGAAGCAGAGACACCCAUGCUGUCUCUGGCCUCCUUGAAUCAGCUUCCAGCUUCACUGACAUACAGGUGUAGGACACAAGGAGUGUUUGAUGGAGCUUGGGAGCUUGGAAGCAAGAGCUAGGUAAAUGCCUUGCUUGUGGUCCGGAUGUCAGGCUAAGACCAGGCUACACUAGAGCGUUCCAAGAGUCAUGUGGAUGUGAACCUGGAACAAUGACUGAGUGCCUUGGCCACCUGCUGUCCUCUGACAUCUCUUUACUGGAUGCAGUCAUGUCCACCAGGGAGGAAACGUCCUAAAGAGAGUAAAGGAAUCCCCAUCUCUUUUCUGAAAGUCAUGCUCCCUCUUUAUUUCCAAACAGCAAACGACUUUUUGUUUUUGUUUUUCAGGAUAGUGUUUCUCUGUGUAUGGAGCCCUGGCUCUCUUUGAACUUGCUCUGUACAUCAGGCUACUUUUGAACUCAGAUCCACCCGACUCUAUCUCCCAGGUGCUAAGAUUAAAGGAAUAAGACACCACUGACCCGCCCUUUUCAAUGUCAGCAGUGUUGUUAGAAUCUUCCUGUGCUUAAGAUCCAAGAGUGGUGUGGGAACACCAGACCUUGAGCAGAGACCCACUUCCCCUUCUGCCUGGGAGUAGGCAGCUGUAAGACAAUGUUUAGUAAAAACAUGUUUACUAAAAACGAUACAAUAAG